UUCGCAUCCUCUGCUGGUGCUUACCCAACAAGACUUCACUGAACAUCUGCUACACACAAGUGCGCCUGGGGUGGACGAGGGGCUGGAUGCUGAGAAGGACAGUGUGGGCUCAGCCCACUCCCUAGGAGACGGUCAUUCAUGUUACUGCCAUUUUUUCGGAGGAGAUUUCCCACACGUAUUUUGCUCCGGGUUACACGGGCAAGAAAUGGCAGAGAUGUGAGUCAUCGCCAAAGACACUGUACUGUGCGGUUGGAGGAGGUGUCCUGGAGGUGGGUGGCCUUUGAGUUGGACCUGGAAAAAUUUGGAAAAGUCAAGAAAAGAGGAUGGAGCCUACUAGAAGAGAAGGGAGACUCGCAGACAUGACAAGGAGACAAGUGUGCCUGUCUUGGCUGUCUGGUCUACACAACAGAAGGCAACUCUGGCUGAUUUGAGUUAAGAGAGAAAGGAGAACCAGGUGCAGAAGCUAGGCUGACUGGCUCACAGAGAAGGCCACCUUGAACAUGCUCAUCGAGACCGGCCGGCUCAUGGGUCCGCAAAAGGCGUCAUGCACCGAGAGAGGCUGGUCUCCACGGAGCCAUGGCAGAGAGCCUGGGCUUGGCAAGAGCGGGGGCACCUUCUGUGGGCCCAUCCUGUGUGCGCGGCAGAUCAGACCCCCUCACAUUGCCCAAGUGCCCUCUGGCCAAGGCCUGUUUCAGGGAACGGGGAGUCUGGCCCAGCCCUGGGGCCUCAGGCAGUGGGAGACCUUACCCUCUGAAGGCUUGAUGCCUUCUCUGACAGGGGAAGCUGGGGUCGAGAUUAAGGAUACCUAAUUCCCUUCAAGUAUCGCCUUCUUUAAGAAGCCUUUCCACAAAGGACUGAAAAUAUUUGCAAUUCAAGUCAUUGCAAAAGAUUGAUUUCCCUGGUAAAUAAAGAGCUCCUACAAAUCAUUAAGAAAAAUAAACAACCCCAUAGGAAUCUGGGCAAAGGAUAUAAACAAACAGCUCACAAAAAGGUAGUAGGAAGGGCACUACACCCAAUGACAUGGGGAAAAGACUGACUCUCCCUCCUGAUGAGGAAAGUCCGACGGAAGUGUCCCUGAGAUGCUACUCCCUCUUCAUCCCCAGGCAGCUCAAGACCCCGUUAUCAGGGUGUGGUACAGGAGCAUGCUGCCAGUCGGUGGGCACGGUGUGCAAACACUGUGGAGAUGGAUCUGACCCAGCGCCUCUGGAAGGUCACGUGGCAGGACCUCAACACUGCCGCUACCCUGCAAAUCUGCCCCUAGAGGUGCAGCCUACCUCUGAUGUGCAAGAUCAUGCUACACGGACAGGAUGGUUUACUGAAGCACUUUCCAUAUCAUCAAAGACUGGAAACCACCGAAAGGUCCAUCACUAGGGAGUUGGUUAAAUAAUUUAUGGCAGAUUUGCACAGUGAGUACUAUGCAGUCAUUUACAAAAAGGUAGUAGGGAGCACCUUUAUGCGCUAACGUGAGCUCCAAGAUACAUAUUUAAGUGAAAAGGGCAAGGCAUUCAAUGGGAUGUAAUGCAAAAUACGUUGUUAUUUGUGUAAAAGUGAAGAAAACGAAUAUAUAUACAUCUUCACUUUUAUACAGAUGGUAGCGUGAUUUGUAUUAUGUCCAAUACAAUACAGUCUCUGUAACGUGGAGCACGCCGCACACGGUGUAUGCAUGCGUGCUUCUAUACGUCUGUCUGGGUGAGGUCAAAGACCUGUGAACAGUGGCUGCUUCUGGGGAGCAGAGCCAAGAAACGGGAGGCUGGGGACACUGGUGGGAGGGAGGCUUUUCCCUAUAUAUUCUUUGUGUU